GUGGGGAAUAUUGCGCAAUGGGCGAAAGCCUGACGCAGCGACGCCGCGUGGGGGAGGAAGGCCUUAGGGUCGUAAACCCCUGUCAGAUGGGACGAACCAUAUGUCGGCUAAUACCCGGCAUACCUGACGGUACCAUCAGAGGAAGCUCCGGCUAACUCCGUGCCAGCAGCCGCGGUAAUACGGAGGGAGCAAGCGUUGUUCGGAAUUACUGGGCGUAAAGGGCGCGUAGGCGGCCUUGUAAGUCGAGUGUGAAAUGCCGGGGCUCAACCCCGUGCACUGCAUUCGAUACUGCUUGGCUAGAGAAAGGUAGAGGCGAGCGGAAUUCCCGGUGUAGCGGUGGAAUGCGUAGAUAUCGGGAAGAACAUCUGGGGCGAAGGCGGCUCGCUGGGCCUUUUCUGACGCUGAAGCGCGAAAGCGUGGGGAGCAAACAGG
rnacentral:rRNA from 1 species